rnacentral:tRNA from 1 species
ACCCCUGUGGCGCAACGGUCUAGCGCGUUGGACUUCUAAUUCAAAGGUUGUGGGUUCGAGUCCCAUCAGGGGUG